UUGCCAUGAUGAAUGCUAUAACUUAUUGAAAGUAUGCAAAUGCUUGAUGAAGUGUCGGCAAUCUUGUCGAUCCUGAGCGGUUACCUGAGCAA